ACCAACCAGUACACCAAUGCUUCCAAUCCUCUAUCUGUGAAACUCUAAACUGUCCAUCAACACCACAACCUCAUCUCAGAUUUAAACAGAAAGCAUACAGAUCACUUCCUUCUUCGUCCGCCUUUCUCCUUAUAACCCUCACCAAAUAAGUACACAUCUCCAUCUCCAUCUCUAUCUCUAUCUGCAUAUCUCUUCUUUAGCUCAUAUGACUUCAACCAGAUCCAAUUUUUUUAUGUUGUUGCCACCAUCUUACAUCCACUGCCGCUUACUGUUUCCUUCCCCACCUUCCGCAAUAGACAUCGUCACUAAGGUUCUCCCCCUUCUCUGUUUUUAGCUUUUGAAUGAAAAUAAUACACUACAUGAUUCGUGAUUGAUAAGCGCCCACUUGAAAUCACAAAUGAAUUUUAGGAGAGCAAGAGGCUGCGAAGGGAAAAAGACAAGAGGGGGUAAUGCUUAUUUUUUCAUUUUUUCUGAUUUCAUUUUGUUUUGUACGUUAUUUAUGUUCACAAUCUUGGUUUUGAAAGUUAGGGUGUCUAAUGCUGCCAAGGUUUAAUGAUAGUCAUUUUCAAUUUGGUUACUAAUCGAUCUCAUACCUGAAGUGUGUUCAUGUUUAAUAUUUUUGAAGUAUUUGAUAUCUAUUGUGUUUUUCUUUUCUAAUUUCACAAGUUAUUGAAGACACAACAUGAAUUGGAGUCUAAUUCUAGGUAUCGUCUCUCUCCCUUAACGUUUAUAUAUAGUUUCGUUUUUGGUCUGUGUUCUUCCAUGGUGAUUUAGGGGGAAAGGUAUCCAUUGGAAAAUGGUAUUUGUUGCAAUUAUAUAUUCUUUAUGAAAUAUGAUGAUUAAUUUUCUUCUUAUAUUUUUCGAUUUAAACAUGUUGCAGAGACGAGAGAAAUCAGAAGUAAAUCAAAAUGUUAAUGACAUCUUUUUUUUUUCAAUUAUAUUGGUUUCCAUGUGAGCUUUUCUUUCAUUUUCUUAUUAAUUUUUUUUUAUAUUUUCUUAUAAAAAUGUUGAAGAAAUCUGAGGUUAUUGAUGUUCUCCAAGGACCUACCAGAACCACAAAUCGAUUGAAGAGAAAGUGUGAAAAAAACCAAGAUUUUUAUGACUUUUACUUUCUUCCAUGUUUCACGCUUUCAGGAAAUGUUUCGAAUCCAUUGAGCUCAAACAUCACAAGAUGAUGCAGAUUAGGUUCUUUUCCCUAUCUAUAUGUUUUUUUGGUUUUGAUAAUUUUUAUUUUUGAUGUAGAUGUUAUCCGACUUCAUGUGUGUUUCUUGGGAUGUUACCAACUUUCAUAACCACCAACAAGAUCUAAACCACUAACAACUGUAUCCACCGCAAUCACCACCCUAGAGCUGACGGUCGCCACUAUGUCUAAAAAUCAUAGAAUCCUUAAUGCCAUAACCAACUACAUUGUUGAUGCUCUUCUUUUUUAAAUUUCUUGGAGACCUCCGUUGAUAGAUCUAAACUGAGGAUGAACAAAAUGUUGAAGAAAGUGGGUCUAAAAACUUAACAGGUGAAAAAAAUCAGAAAACAGGAUCUUUCUCUUUGAUAUUCUAGAACAAACCACCAUUGUUCCUUAUUCUUGUUAUUUUCGAGCUCUUACAGAUUUAACUUUCUCCUGGUAUUGCAUCUCAUGGUUCUCUAUCUAUUUUAUUUUUCUUCUUGAUUUUUUUACAGAUGGUUUUACUUUUCAAAUUCCUAUGAGAUGACACCUUGAACUUGGGAGUUUUUCGAAACCACAUCAGUCCCGACUCACGUGAUUCUAAAAAAAAGCUGAGAAACCUCUAUAAAGAAUUAAAAAUUAAAAAAUCAAAAAAAAAAGUGAGAAGAAGAAAGCCAAGAUGCAUAUCAAAAAGAGUAUUUGUCCUUUUCUAAAUCUGGUGAUAGCCAAAGUCAAAUACAUAAUGAAGAAAAUGAUAAAAAUAGAGAUACAUGGCCCAUGAAAAUGGGCCAGGGCCAAGAAUCAGGUUGUGGGGUUUCUUCUUUACAAGAAAAGAUUACAACUUUGGAGUCAAAAAUAACAUCAAGUUUGUGUUCUUCAGUUUUCUCUAUAGAUUGGUACCUAUGGGAACCAAAUUAAAUUUGGAAACACAUACUUUUUAUAAAUUAUUGGUAUUUGGUGUGAAGAUUAUGAAAUGCAGGAAAAAGAUAAAGAUUAAAAGAUGGAAGACAUGGUGUAAUAAUAGAGGAAACAUGAUAUGGUACAAGAUUGUCAAGGGGAACACUGGCUACAAUUACAUGGUGUGGCAAUUUUAGAACUCUAGAAGGAGUACAUAGGUAGAAUAUUUGAAGGUCCCGGAAGGCUGAAAGUGUGGCUUAUCGGUUGGAUUUACCGAGCGAGCUCAGUCAGAUCCACAACAUUUUCCACGUCUCUCAGUUGUGGAAGUGUGUGAAGGAAAAUGAGGCAGUGGUUUCGUUGGAUGAUAUUCAAGUCGAUGAGCGUCUGACCUAUAUUGAGAGAUCGGUGGCUAUUCUGGAAAGAAAGAUGAAGGUCUUGCGCAACAAGGAGAUAUCUUUGGUAAACGUUCAAUGGCAGCAUUAGAGAGACUCCGAGUGGACCUGGGAGCCGGAAGCUAAGAUGCGGGAGCAUUAUCCUGAGUUGUUCAUUGCAACCGACUUCGAGGAUGAAGUCUAGUUCAAGUGGGGGAGAUUUGUAACAUCCCAAUGAUGAGGUACUUCUGAUGAUCGCGGGAAGGUGAAGGCGUGACCAUAGACAUCCUCUGUUUUAUGUACUUUUGAUUAUGGGAUACUCUGAUAUUGAACAAUACUUUGAAAACAAUGAUUUUGUAAACAUUCUAUGAUUUGGGGUUGUUUUGAAAAGUUUAAAUUUGUCGUGA